AGUGAACGCUGGCGGUAGGCCUAACACAUGCAAGUCGAACGGCAGCACAGUAAGAGCUUGCUCUUACGGGUGGCGAGUGGCGGACGGGUGAGGAAUACAUCGGAAUCUACUUUUUCGUGGGGGAUAACGUAGGGAAACUUACGCUAAUACCGCAUACGACCUACGGGUGAAAGCAGGGGAUCUUCGGACCUUGCGCGAUUGAAUGAGCCGAUGUCGGAUUAGCUAGUUGGCGGGGUAAAGGCCCACCAAGGCGACGAUCCGUAGCUGGUCUGAGAGGGUGAUCAGCCACACUGGAACUGAGAAACGGUCCAGACUCAUACGGGAGGCAGCGGUGGGGAAUAUUGGACAAUGGGCGCAAGCCUGAUCCAGCCAUACCGCGUGGAUGAAGAAGGCCUUCGGGUUGUAAAGCCCUUUUGUUGGGAAAGAAAAGCAGCAGGUUAAUACCCCGCUGUUCUGACGGAACCCAAAGAAUAAGCACCGGCUAACUUCGUG
rnacentral:rRNA from 1 species